rnacentral:rRNA from 1 species
UGGGGAAUAUUGGACAAUGGGCGAAAGCCUGAUCCAGCCAUGCCGCGUGUGUGAAGAAGGUCUUCGGAUUGUAAAGCACUUUAAGUUGGGAGGAAGGGCAGUAAGCGAAUACCUUGCUGUUUUGACGUUACCGACAGAAUAAGCACCGGCUAACUCUGUGCCAGCAGCCGCGGUAAUACAGUGGGUGCAAGCGUUAAUCGGAAUUACUGGUCGUACAGCGCGCGUAGGUGGUUCGUUAAGUUGAAUGUGAAAGCCCCGGGCUCAACCUGGGAACUGCAUCCAAAACUGGCGAGCUGGAGUAGGGCAGAGGGUGGUGGUAUUUCCUGUGUAGCGGUGAAAUGCGUAGAUAUAGGAAGGAACACCAGUGGCGAAGGCGACCACCUGGGCUCAAACUGACACUGAGAUGCGAAAGCGUGGGGAGCAAACAGG